rnacentral:rRNA from 1 species
UACAGAGGUGGCAAGUGUUGUUCGGAUUUACUGGGCGUAAAGGGUCCGCAGGCGGCUUUGUGUGUCAGAUGUGAAAGCCCACGGCUUAACCGUGGAAAUGCAUUUGAAACUACAGAGCUAGAGUACGGGAGAGGAGAGGGGAAUUCAUGGUGUAGCGGUGAAAUGCGUAGAUAUCAUGAAGAACACCGGUGGCGAAAGCGCCUCUCUGGACCGAUACUGACGCUCAUGGACGAAAGCUAGGGGAGCAAAGAGG